rnacentral:rRNA from 1 species
CUUUUUUCUUUUUUUUUCGAUCGGGUCGUGUCGUUGCGGUUGGUUGACGUUACUAAGAGGGGGUGAGGCGCGUGUUUGGGUUUUCGUCUAUUCCCUCUUCUUUCGGCGGUGGAUUAUUACAGGAUUAGGGGGGCUGGAGGAGGGCAGCUAGCUUUAAGGUUAAGGUUCCUCUCUCUUUUUUUCUCGCUGACUCUCGUUGCCACGCACGCACGCACGCUCGCUCCCUUGGGUCCGCUCCAUCGCCUAGGGGGCCUGCCCGCCCACCAAGAUCCCAAUCCCAAACGCCGUCGCCGCCGCCGCCGCCCCGACCCCUGGCACGCACGCGGAGGAAGCUGCCACUCGGCCUACGAUACGACGAUCCGACGCCCAGCGAGAGGAGCACCCACGCGGCGGAGCAGCGGACGCACCCUUUAACAAAACCUACACGCUUCAGAUGAGGAUAUUGUCGACAACUACUCGGAAGAUUUCCAAAUUCCUAAGUUCCCGCGAGCUAUUUUGUAGCAUCAAACAGACUUCUAAAAACCUCAUGUUCAGGUGCACUUUACCUCUUGUCACGGAACGUCAGUGUGGCAUCAUACAGAAGGUAGUCGUGUCGUCGUGUUAGAUCACUCGUCGUACCUCGACCUUCAUCGUCGUUGGGUUUACUCAAACAUUUAGUUCCAGAAGAUGAGACCUUGGUCUGAUCUGUCGUCACCCAACCUUUGUCUUCCGAAUUAAGAGUCGCAGUUUUCUGGGCCCUCGGUUUUUAUCCAACCUUACGAUGCAUACUCUCGGACGAUCCUUCGUGGUUCUGUAAACGUGUCGGCUAGGGAGAACCACUUUACCAUCUAAAGGAGCACCUGCCGACCCUCGUCCUCCCCGAUAUACUAAUCGACGAAUUAAUUUCGCACAACCAUAACAGACCCCAGAGCAACAAUUAGCGACCUUACAUGAGUUGAAACCAAAUAGUUUCGCACACCCACUACUUACACCUAAUAGGAGCACUGUCCUACCGUAGGGAAAAAGAAAAUUUCAUUUACAUUGUAUAAAAAUAGGAUGAUAAAAAAAAAUGUAAAUCGUAACACCAGAGGGGGACGGAUGAAAUACACAAAAAAAUGUAAAUAAAUCAUCGUCCUUUGUCAGAACCUGAGCUCUCAAACACUAGAAAAGAAUGCACCCUCAUUCCUUACCUUACCCUGAAGCCACGUCCUCCACAAGACCGGUUUACUACGCCUCCUCUAAAACUUCUAUUUUGAUGGGUUUGCCUUCCUCCUACACUGCCGAACCGUGAUGCUUAGUAGGUCCGUGAAGAAACAGACUUCACGCAUGUUCGACCGUAUUAUUAAACUUCGUCAGGCUACUUUUAGUCUGGCCUUCAUCAUAACGAGCCUUCCCGCUGUCCUUAUACACCUUGAACACACACCUUACAAUUUAGGGAUCGGAGACUAUUAGAGCGAUGUUUCGUCUUGUUUACCUUCUCCUUAAACCUUUCUCUACCAUCCACGUUAUAUACACCAUACCGCCUACUCUUACCAAAAGACGACACCGCUUUACAUGUUUACGGACCCGGAACGCUCUAGUCUACGCUCCCCACCCCUAGAAACCCUCCUUUCCCAAAAGUUUAUGUCAGUCAGAGACUAGGAGGAGCGGUUUUAGUUUGGCUUCAUCGCACCAAACCAGGAAAAUCAGAAAACCGUACCAACCAAGGAUGCUUUACU